UACGUAGGCGGAAAAUUAAGUCAGUGGUGAAAUCCUGCAGCUUAACUGUAGAACUGUCAUUGAUACUGGUUUUCUUGAAUAUAGUUGAGGUAGGCGGAAUGUGUAAUGUAGCGGUGAAAUGCUUAGAUAUUACACAGAACACCGAUUGCGAAGGCAGCUUACUAAGCUAUUAUUGACGCUGAGGUACGAAAGCGUGGGGAGCGAACAGGAUUAGAUACCCUGGUAGUCC
rnacentral:rRNA from 1 species